GCCCAUCUGGGUUAGCUCAGUUGGUAGAGCAUGAGAUUCUUAAUCUCAGGGUUGUGGGUUCAAAUCUCACCUUGGGCA